UAAAAUUUUAGCAUUUUUUGUCUUGCAUAAUAAAAAGAUCUCGGGGGGCGGGGUCAGUGUUACCUCAUUGAUCCACGCGGGGCGGGACUUUCACCGUAUAUGAUUCUGGACAAAUGAGACAUGAAGCCACUGAGGCACCGCGGGAUGGAGACCGCAGUCCAGCCGGAGCCCCGGUUCCGGUCCGGGAGGACGUGGAAGUCCGACAGGAGAAACGCCAGCAGGAUCCAGAACCAUGGAGCCGGAGCUUCCGGACGCACGCGCUCUUUUGGCUCCAGCCCGAGGAUCUGUGCGCGCGGGUCGGGAUGUGACCCAAACCCAGCUCUGGACCCCGGAGAACAGGUGUGCUGCUGUCAGAGAGCGCGCGCUCAGCCGGCGGGAGGGCGGGAGGGGUUGUCUGUUAUCUUUGGUUAUCUAGCUGUAUGAGUGACGUACAUCUUCAUAAAGCUAGAUAACCGAAAGUAACAAGAAUCCCAAAACAUGAGCGGGACGGAAACGGAAGAACCUUCAACAUCCGGCGACGUGCAGAAUCGGAUGGAAGCUGAAGGUCGCGACCAACUGAACACAAAGAACCUCAUGGUUUCUCUGAAGCAGCAGUUUCUUCACUGGAUGACUUGAUGUCAGGAUCAUCACCUCACAGCUGGAUGGAAUCGUCAUCGUUUGCCGUCGAGACGCAAAAACUACAGAAAUCGCCGGAUGAGGUCAAACGAACGCUGAAGGAGCUGCAAGAUCACAGGGAUCCAUCCAGCAGCUGGAGAGCAUCUCUGCAGCAUCUCUGCAGCCAGUCUGCAGACCGACUGCAGCAGGUCUGCAGCAGGUCUGCAGCUGGUCUGCAGCUGCUGAGGAAACACCUGCAGGACGUUUUGGGUCAAACCUGAAGCUCCUCUCUGUCCAUCUCUGCUUCACAAACUCUGAGAAUGAAGCUUUAUGGGAAAAAUUGAGCCAAUGACAAUCAGUUAUUUAUGAUGUUUGAAUGUUUUAGAGACAUUUUUCUGGAGUAAAGACUAAAUCCAUCCUCUGUUCCCCAUCAGUCCUUCCAUCCACAGACCUUCAUGUUUGUUCUUAGCUUGAGUUUAAAUACAGUUUUAAUGUUAAAUGAUGAUCCUGAUUGAGCUUAUGAUACUGAAGCAGCUCAGCAGUCGUUCACAAUCUUUCUGCACAUUCAAACGUUUAGAACCACCACUAAAUAUACGUUUACUGUUUAUUUAAAUAUGUUUACUGUUUAUUUAAAUAUACGUUUACUAUUUAUGUAAAUCACUGAUUCCUGAUGCAGUUUUUGCACAUGAAUAAAUGAAUGAAUGAAAGUUUCUGACUGAUGUGAGAUUUCUGAGCUCAGCACAACGUUCUGUUAUGGAUUAAAAAGAGUUUUCUGAUUUAUUCUGCAUUUUUUUUGGGUCAAAACUGUUUGUAAUUUAACUGUCAUUAAAGUGACACGACUUUAAUGAAACUGUUCAAAUGUGCAGCAAACGAGAAAAGACGUUAAUGUGGAAUAAAUCCAUGAAAUGCUUCAACGUU